rnacentral:rRNA from 1 species
CAGCAGCCGCGGUAAUACGAAGGGUGCAAGCGUUACUCGGAAUUACUGGGCGUAAAGCGUGCGUAGGUGGUGGUUUAAGUCCGUUGUGAAAGCCCUGGGCUCAACCUGGGAAUUGCAGUGGAUACUGGGUCACUAGAGUGUGGUAGAGGAUAGUGGAAUUUCCGGUGUAGCAGUGAAAUGCGUAGAGAUCGGAAGGAACAUCUGUGGCGAAGGCGACUAUCUGGGCCGACACUGACACUGAGGCACGAAAGCGUGGGGAGCAAACAGGAUUAGAUACCCCCGUAGUCCCUGUCUCUUAUAU